UACGUAGGACCCAAGCGUUAUCCGGAGUGACUGGGCGUAAAGAGUUGCGUAGGCGGCUCAGAAAGCAAAUAGUGAAAUCUGGUGGCUCAACCAUCAACCCAUUAUUUGAACUCCUGAGCUCGAGAAUGGUAGAGGUCACUGGAAUUUCUAGUGUAGGAGUGAAAUCCGUAGAUAUUAGAAGGAACACCAAUGGCGUAGGCAGGUGACUGGACCAUUUCUGACGCUGAGGCACGAAAGCGUGGGGAGCGAACGGG
rnacentral:rRNA from 1 species